rnacentral:rRNA from 1 species
CUACGUAGGGGGCGAGCGUUGUCCGGAAUGAUUGGGCGUAAAGGGCGCGUAGGCGGCCCGGUAAGUCUGGAGUGAAAGUCCUGUUUUUAAGAUGGGAAUUGCUUUGGAUACUGUCGGGCUUGAGUGCAGGAGAGGUAAGUGGAAUUCCCAGUGUAGCGGUGAAAUGCGUAGAGAUUGGGAGGAACACCAGUGGCGAAGGCGACUUACUGGACUGUAACGGACGCUGAGGCGCGAAAGUGUGGGGAGCAAACAGGAUUAGAGACCCUGGUAGUCCACACUGUAAACGAUGAAUGCUAGGUGUAGGGGGUAUCGACCCCUUCUGUGCCGCAGUCAACACGAUAAGCAUUCCGCCUGGGGAGUACGGCCGCAAGGUUGAAACUCAAAUGAAUUGACGGGG